rnacentral:rRNA from 1 species
CUGUAUGAAUGGCAUAACGAGGGCUUAACUGUCUCCCUCCCCCAGUCAAUGAAAUUGAUCUUUCCGUGCAGAAGCGGGAAUAAACCCAUAAGACGAGAAGACCCUGUGGAGCUUUAGACAAUAAAUAGCCCCUGUAAAGAGCCCUUACCAAACAAGCCAAAACAAACGGAUAACUAUUUUGCUGUCUUUGGUUGGGGCGACCGCGGGGUAACAAAAAACCCCCAUGUGGAACAAGAACAGCCUUCUUUAAACCAAGAACACCUCCUCGAAGUAACAGAACAUCUGACCUAAUAUGACCCGGCUUUGCCGAUCAACGGAACCAGUUACCCCAGGGAUAACAGCGCAUUCCUCUCCCAGAGCCCAUAUCGACGAGGGGGUUUACGACCUCGAUGUUGGAUCAGGACAUCCUAAUGGUGCAGCCGCUAUUAAGGGUUCCUUUUGUUCAACGAUAAAG